rnacentral:rRNA from 1 species
CAAUAGCGUAUAUUAAAGUUGUUGCGGUUAAAAAGCUCGUAGUUGGAUUUCUGCUGAGAACGACCGGUCCGCCCUUUGGGUGUGUAUCUGGCUCUUUCUUGGCAUCUUCUUGGUGAACGUUGCUGCACUUGACUGUGUGGAGCGCUACCCAGGACUUUUACUUUGAGGAAAUUAGAGUGUUUCAAGCAGGCAUACGCCUUGAAUACAUUAGCAUGGAAUAAUAAGAUAGGACCUCGGUUCUAUUUUGUUGGUUUCUAGAGCUGAGGUAAUGAUUAAUAGGGAUAGUUGGGGGCAUUCGUAUUUAACUGUCAGAGGUGAAAUUCUUGGAUCUGUUAAAGACGGACUACUGCGAAAGCAUUUGCCAAGGAUGUUUUCAUUG